AACUUAGAGGAUGGAUUCAAAAGUAGCCUGUCCUUGGGCGACUGAGAAUCGAGACCUAAAAUGAGGACUACGCUCGUAGAAGCCCACUGAAGCAGCAUCGGACGAGGGUUCGACUCCCUCCGUCUCCACCA
rnacentral:tRNA from 1 species